GACGAACGCUGGCGGCGUGCUUAACACAUGCAAGUCGAACGGAAAGGCCCUGCUUGCAGGGUACUCGAGUGGCGAACGGGUGAGUAACACGUGGGUGAUCUGCCCUGCACUUCGGGAUAAGCUUGGGAAACUGGGUCUAAUACCGGAUAGGAACCAUCUUUAGUGUGGUGGUUGGAAAGUUUUUUCGGUGUAGGAUGAGCUCGCGGCCUAUCAGCUUGUUGGUGGGGUAAUGGCCUACCAAGGCGGCGACGGGUAGCCGGCCUGAGAGGGUGUACGGCCACAUUGGGAAUGAGAUACGGCCCAGACUCCUACGGGAGGCAGCAAUGGGGAAUAUUGCACAAUGGGCGCAAGCCUGAUGCAGCGACGCCGCGUGGGGGAUGAAGGCCUUCGGGUUGUAAACUCCUUUCGCUAGGGACGAAGCUUUGUUGUGACGGUACCUAGAUAAGAAGCACCGGCUAACUACGUG
rnacentral:rRNA from 1 species